AGGACGAACGCUGGCGGCGUGCUCAACACAUGCAAGUCGAGCGAGGCCCUCUCUUCGGAGAGGUGCCCUAGCGGCGAACGGGUGAGUAACACGUGGGCAACCUGCCCCUAGCACUGGGAUAAGCCCGGGAAACCGGGUCUAAUACCGGAUAUGACCUUCAAGGGCAUCCUCGAAGGUGUAAAGGAUUCUGGCUAGGGAUGGGCCCGCGGCCUAUCAGCUUGUUGGUGGGGUAAUGGCCCACCAAGGCAACGACGGGUA
rnacentral:rRNA from 1 species